rnacentral:rRNA from 1 species
UCCAGCUAUGCCGCGUGACGGAAGAAGGCCUUCGGGUUGUAAACUGCUUUUGUCAGGGAAGAAAUCGUCUGGGUUAAUACCUCGGGGGGAUGACGGUACCUGACCAAUAAACCCCGGCUUACUACGUGCCCGCAGCCGCGGUAAUACGUAGGGGGCGAGCGUUAAUCGGAAUUACUGGGCGUAAAGCGUGCGCAAGCGGUUGUGCAAGACCGGUGUGAAAUCCCCGGGCUUAACCUGGGAACUGCACUUGUGACUGCACGAAUAGAGUACGGUAAAGGGGGAUGGAAUUCCGCGUGUAGCAGUGAAAUGCGUAAAUAUGCGGAGGAACACCGAUGGCGAAGGCAAUCCCCUGGACCUGUACUGACGCUCAUGCACGAAAGCGUGGGGAGCAAACAGGAUUAAAUACCCUGGUAGUCCACGCCCUAAACGAUGUCAACUGGUUGUUGGACGGCUUGCUGUUCAUUAACGAAGCUAACGCGUGAAGUUGACCGCCUGGGGAGUAGGCCCCCCAGGUUGAAACUCA